UACGUAGGGUGCGAGCGUUAAUCGGAUUUACUGGGCGUAAAGCGUGCGCAGGCGGCCCGUUAAGACAGGUGUGAAAUCCCCGGGCUCAACCUGGGAAUGGCAUUUUGAACUGGCAGGCUCGAGUUCUGAAGAGGGUGGUAGAAUUUCCAGUGUAGCGGUGAAAUGCGUAGAGAUCAGGAGGAACACCGAUGGCGAAGGCAGCCCCCUGGGCCUGUACUGACGCUCAUGCACGAAAGCGUGGGGAGCAAACAGG
rnacentral:rRNA from 1 species